rnacentral:misc_RNA from 1 species
GAAAUGCGAUAAGUAAUGUGAAUUGCAGAAUUCAGUGAAUCAUCGAAUCUUUGAACGCACAUUGCGCCCUCUGGUAUUCCGGAGGGCAUGCCUGUUCGAGCGUCAUAAUGACCAAAUCACCCCCGUGGUGGACUUGGAGUUGGCCUGUACUGGCCUCUCUUAAAAUCAGUGGCGGUGCUCUUAAGCUCUACGCGUAGUAAUUUUCUCGCUACAGGGUCUUGCUAGUACUUGCCAAUAACCCCAACUUAUCAUAAGGUUGACCUCGGAUCAGGUAGGGAUACCCGCUGAACUUAA